rnacentral:rRNA from 1 species
GACGAACGCUGGCGGCGUGCUUAACACAUGCAAGUCGAACGAAGUGGCGAACGGGUGAGUAAUGCGUAAUCAACCUGCCCUUCAGAGGGGGACAACCGUUGGAAACGACUGCUAAUACCUCAUACUGAAGGAGGGGCUUGCGUCUUAUUAGCUAGUUGGAGGGGUAACGGCCCACCAAGUCGAUGAUCAGUAGCCAGUCUGAGAGGUGGAACGGCCACAUUGGGACUGAGACACGGCCCAGACUCCUACGGGAGGCAGCAGUGGGGAAUCUUCCGCAAUGGACGAAAGUCUGACGGAGCAACGCCGCGUGAGUGAUGACGGCCUUCGGGUUGUAAAGCUCUGUUAAUCGGGACGCGGUACCGGAAUAGAAAGCCACGGCUAACUACGUGCCAGCAGCCGCGGUAAUUC